rnacentral:rRNA from 1 species
UACGUAGGGUGCGAGCGUUAAUCGGAAUUACUGGGCGUAAAGCGUGCGCAGGCGGUUGGUUAAGUCUGAUGUGAAAGCCCCGGGCUCAACCUGGGAAUGGCAUUGGAAACUGGCUGGCUAGAGUGUGGCAGAGGGGGGUGGAAUUCCGCGUGUAGCAGUGAAAUGCGUAGAGAUCCGGAGGAACACCAGAGGCGAAGGCGGCCUGCUGGGCUGCACCUGACGCUGAGGUGCGAAAGCCAGGGGAGCGAACGGG